rnacentral:rRNA from 1 species
AACGAACGCUGGCGGCAGGCCUAACACAUGCAAGUCGAGCGCCCUUUCGGGGGAGCGGCGGACGGGUGAGUAACGCGUGGGAAUAUGCCCUUCUCUACGGAAUAGCCUCGGGAAACUGAGAGUAAUACCGUAUACGCCCUUUGGGGGAAAGAUUUAUCGGGGAAGGAUUAGCCCGCGUUGGAUUAGGUAGUUGGUGGGGUAAUGGCCUACCAAGCCGACGAACCAUAGCUGGUUUGAGAGGAUGAUCAGCCACACUGGGACUGAGACACGGCCCAGACUCCUACGGGAGGCAGCAGUGGGGAAUCUUAGACAAUGGGGGCAACCCUGAUCUAGCCAUGCCGCGUGAGUGAUGAAGGCCUUAGGGUUGUAAAGCUCUUUCAGCUGGGAAGAUAAUGACGGUACCAGCAGAAGAAGCCCCGGCUAACUCCGUG